rnacentral:rRNA from 1 species
GAUGAACGCUGGCGGCGUGCCUAAUACAUGCAAGUCGAGCGAACGGACGAGAAGCUUGCUUCUCUGAUGUUAGCGGCGGACGGGUGAGUAACACGUGGAUAACCUACCUAUAAGACUGGGAUAACUUCGGGAAACCGGAGCUAAUACCGGAUGAUAUUUUGAACCGCAUGGUUCAAAAGUGAAAGACGGUCUUGCUGUCACUUAUAGAUGGAUCCGCGCUGCAUUAGCUAGUUGGUAAGGUAAUGGCUUACCAAGGCAACGAUGCAUAGCCGACCUGAGAGGGUGAUCGGCCACACUGGAACUGAGACACGGUCCAGACUCCUACGGGAGGCAGCAGUAGGGAAUCUUCCGCAAUGGGCGAAAGCCUGACGGAGCAACGCCGCGUGAGUGAUGAAGGUCUUCGGAUCGUAAAACUCUGUUAUUAGGGAAGAACAUGUGUGUAAGUAACUGUGCACAUCUUGACGGUACCUAAUCAGAAAGCCACGGCUAACUACGUG